UAGAAGGGACAUAACUCUUAAUAGCCACUGGUGGCGCUACGAUCGAGCCGAAUUCCAGCCUAGUUCGGCAAGGGUGGAAACUGGACUUUUAAAGUCAAUUAACUCUCUUGCCUCGGGAAGAUGCCUUCAGAAAGGCAUAAGAUUGGUCUAGUGGUUAGUUUGUUUACUUGUUACACUGGAGACCUGGAUUUGGGUAGAAUGUGCCAUUCCAAUCAUGGGGUUCCAUUCUAUGAGAGGGUUGAAAUAUUGAGAAAAUAGAUGAGGAAAAUAUGCCUGUUCCUCUUAGGAAGUAUUUAAAUCCAUGAUAAGUAAAAGUAAAACUAUUAUUUGUAAAUUUUGGGUUGAAAGUUUCAUAAACCAAGACAUUACAAUGAGCUUGAAGGGUGACUGAGGAAAUGGUAGACAUGGGAACUUGGGUAACGAGGAGGAGGGAGAACCUUGCAGAGCACCACAUGGCGUCACGGGACAUUCUGCUGAAAGUAUGGAACGUCACAUUGAGUCGUUGACUGUGAUUUAGUGUAAGUUGUGUGGCUUCUAAAGGUUUUGUGGUUAUUAGAACAUUUUGUGAUGAUUAGAAGACUUUGUGAUCAGUAGAACCAUUUGUGAAUAAUAGACAGUUUUGUGCUGAAUAGACAGAUUUGUGGUUAAAAGUAAACAAGGAGGUAGAUAUUUGUGUUUUUAUAUUAGUUGUUGUGAAGUUCUGUUUUGCUGGGAGUUUGAUGUUGGGCCACUGAGAUUUGAAAACUAAACAUGGCGCCUUAGGUUUGAGGAAGCCCAUGUUCGUGUAGUAUGUAUGGUCAUAUCGUCAGCAUGCUGAUAUUAUAUUUAUUGCUGUCAGUUAGGAUAACAAAACGUAGAGAUGCUGUACAGCUUUGGAGAUAUAUUUACAAUUUGGAGAUAAUUUAUCCUGUAGAAGUAAUAUGUUGAUACUGUAAAUAUGUAAGUAUUUGAAACAUUUGUACAUUUGUGAUCACAUAUAUAGGUAUGUAACACAUUUUUAUUGAAAAUCUGACUCCAAAUAUUCUGAAGGUGUAUCAUAUCUUUACAGUUCUUGUACUUGUGGUAAUUUGAAGGCAUAGAUUGUGUUUAUUUGUUAAAGACACUGUAAAUUGUAUAAAUUCCACUUUCUGAUCUCACUGCUAUAACUAAUGGAGUGACUAUGUUUGUCUUGCAUAAUGUGUUUCUUGUCUUUCUGCUCCUGCUUUGUGCUUAGGUUGUGUUUGGGCAGGUUGUGCUCAUAAACUGUUUGGGCAGGCUGUGCUUGUAAACUGUUUGGGCAGGUUGUGCUCAUAAACUGUUUGGGCAGGCUGUGCUCAUAAACUGUUUGGGCAGGCUGUGCUCGUAAACUGUUUGGGUCUCAGGCUCUCAGCGUUGACACAUGGUACAUUCAUAACUUAAAAUGGCCAGCUUUAUUUCUUGCUUUCCCAUCUCUCCUAGAUGUACCACCCACACCUUUAUGUCCUACCCUUUUCAUCGAUUAGAGUCCAAAUACUUGUAUGACAGACCUAGAAUUAGUGUAGAAAGGAAGGCAUUUGGAAACCAUUUUUCAGACGUAUUGUGAAUAACACUCUCUGCAUAUAUUUGAUAGAUGUGAGCUUAUAAUAAAUAAUGAAUUUGUAUGGCGCCUGAUACCAAUUAAAAGCUGCGAUUUGAUAAGACCUGUCCUUGCUCUGACAUGGUUCUUGUCUAGCUGAGAACAGUAUUCCAUCUUACACCUGUUGGCUGCAUUGUUCUGAAGUGUUUUAACAUUUGGUUUAGUACAUAAGAAAGUUACCCGUGAUCCGGGUUAGAAUUGGCUUUAGCAACCCAUGCUUGCUGUAAGAGGCGACUAUGCUGUCAGAGAAAGAAGGUUCCUUGUUUAAUCGUCUGUAAAUGGUUUCCAGUGCGUCGCUAUGAGUCCUUUAGUUCAGGUAUAACACCAAUUAUCCCAGAUCAUAAAAUUCCAACAUCUUCAAUAAAUCAAAAAUACACAUGUGAUAUUCAACAGUACAUACUUUCUCUAUUUAUUGAAAACAUAGCCAGUUAUUUAUGACCCAAAGUGUUCCAUUCCUUGUUUCCAUGGUUACAGUGUAAUAUCUCAAGCAUCUUCCUCAUAAGAGGGUAGGCUUGUCAUUCCAACACCUGCAAUGUGUAAAUAUAUAUUAAGUAGGAUAGAUAUUUAGGGUGGAGAAUAAGAUGCUACACGACACAACCUAACAAAUCUAAGGUAUAUCAUUUUGGAUGACAUGAAAAGUAACAUUUGAAGCACUUACUGCUUACCAGUACGAAAUGGGAUAUUUUGUUCAUGACUGAAUGAAGUUGCUCUUAUGAAAUAACCAGUAAACUUACAGUAGUAAGAGGGGAAUUGGGAUCAAAUCAUGAGAGACUCAUUAAUUUGGUUGUUGGUGAUAAUAGGAUUCUUCUCCUUUUACUCCCCUUUAGAGAUGAGACUGCUACAUUUGUGACAAGUGGAUCUCACAGCUCUCACCAGUCUUGUCUCAGUUAUCUGUGCUAUGACUGUCAGAGCUACAACUACCGUAAAUCUAGGUUAGGACAUUCAUAGAGCUACAGACUAUUAUGUAAAUCAUAGGGCUACAACUCUGUGUUACGACAGUCGGCAUUACAAUUGCUCUGUGUAAUGUGGGCAAGAUGUGUGAAGUUCCCUUCGAAGGCCUGCCCCUGUGGUUGGUGAAGAAAGCAUCACCUGUCCGAGUAUGCAUUGUUAUCAUUGCUCAUCUCCAAGUGUUAUAUAUAUUUUAAGUCUGUGUUACAGUAGAUAUGCUGUUUGUCAUUUGUUAUUUUCUUGUUGCAUCUUUAUGUGCAUUUGAGGGAAGUAGGUGAAAGUCCACAUGUCAAACAUGAUGGGUAUGUUUCAGGAUCAUAUGAUGCUUAGAUCAUGAAAUGGAAAACUAAGAAGCUACUUCACUGUAGAAACUUCAGAAGUAAUUUUAUUGAUAAGUACUGCAGAAAACAGAGUCAUCUCCCUUAGACUAUUUCAGUUUUUCCCCUAAUGCACAGUGAGAUUUGAAAUUGUUUUAUUGUCCAUUCCUUGCCAGAACUGACUUAAAAUUAGCCACUCCACAUUGCAGAGUAGAUCUGAAUUGUUCAAGUGUCAAGUUAUGUACAGCAAGAAAAUAUUUACUUUUUUGCCAUAUUUCAAAUUAGAUGACAAUAAAAUUAUGUAAGCCUGAA